GUGAUCAGCACUGAGCAAAGUUCACUUACCAUGGACUUCUGGCUUAUUUUGCUUUUCCUUGCUGUUAUUUUAAGAGGUGGCCAGUGUGAGGUGCAGUUGGUGGAGUCUGGAGGAAGCUUAGUGCAGCCUGGAAAGUCCCUGAAACUCUUCUGUGCAGCCUCUGGAUUCACCUUCAGUGAUUAUUACAUGAACUGGGUCCGCCAGGCUCCAGGGAAAGGUCUGGAAUGGGUCGCAUAUAUUAGUGGUGGUGGUAGCGACAUCAAAUAUGCCGAUGCUGUGAAAGGCCGAUUCACAAUCUCCAGAGACAAUGCCAAGAACACUCUGUACCUGGAAAUGAACAGUCUGAGGUCUGAGGACACAGCCAUGUAUUACUGUACCAGAUUCACAUUAACCCACUUCUAUCACCACAUGGGUGUGGCUUACCACCAAGGUUCUGGCUUGUCUGUUCCCAGUGGCAGUAUCCACUUCAUGCUACCUCAGGACACAGCAACACCACUCAUGAGCACAUAA